CUUGCAUGAUUUAAAAGUGUAUUAUAAAUUAACAAGUCGGAGAGAGUGAUAUAUUUACAAAAUGAUCCCAAAAUUCACUUGCCAGUCGGGCCAGGGACUGUGGAGAUGUACUGGCCCUACUGGAUUUUAACUAGCCAUGGGCUACCGGGCCAGUGGCUAUUUCGCACACUGUGAACAUCUCAUUUGCAUU